GCUGUCGCUGGGCUCGGCCGAGAGGUCCCAGCUACUUCCUGGUGCUCGGAUUUGCAUACGGAGCCCGGGGGGCGGGGAAGUGACCGUUUGGCCCCUGCCCAAGGUUGGGAUCUUCGGUGUGGCCGUCGCACAGAGCUUUGACAGCGAAGAAACCCGGCGUCCCAGGGUGCAGUUUGGGAGAGUGGAAGCGUCUCGGGCCCAACAUUCUCCUGUGGCGACGACAGAAGGAUGUUUCGGAGAGAACCUCUGGCGUCGAUGAAACAUCCCGUGUCUUUUCCUUCUCUUCCAGCCUCCUCCCCACGGUGUUAAAAAGUGGGGUGUCCCUGGCAGCAAAGGGGGCGUGCUCUGAUCCCCCGACGUUCGGAGUUCUUUAGAGAGAGGAUGAGAUGUGCCUAUUUGAUGCUCGGGGUCUCUGAGUUCUUAAUCAGAACAGAUACAGACCUUCAUCAUCACAUGCCUGACCAUGAACUUGCAGCCGAAUUUGGUCCCUCUCCGCACACGCUCUCACCUUGGCCUACCCACCUCGCCAUCUGACCUGCAGCCCUUCCUACUACCAUGAUAUGGAAGGGGUCUCUGGAGGGAUAGGUGACUUGCCCAAAUUCACCUCGCCGAAAUGGUUCCCGCUGGAUUUGAACCCCUUCCUGUCCGUCUGACUGACAGCAAAGCCUGAGGUUGUACCCUGAGUUUGUGAUGCCUUCUACAAAGUUGGGGCUUCUCAGCCUGACAUACCACAGAAACAGCUCAGUGAGCCUGAAAGCAAACAGGAGUACAUGCAGGCCACGUUCUUCCCAAUUCUUCUACAUUAUAAAGGAACAGCCAAGCCACCUGAACAAGAAAUGGUUAAAGCUGAGCCAAAUAAUGGUAAUAACAUCAAUAACAUAAUUAGAAUUGAAAUCUUAUCAAAUUACAACAAAGUUAAUUUGUCACUCAGUGAUAUACAAGAUUGUGCCACAUGGUAGUUAGACCAAAAUGUUAAACUAUUCAUAAAAAAUAAAUAAAUCAUAGUCACAUUGGGGGAUUCUGAGGUCUACUAGGGAGUGUCCAGAAGGUCAGAGGAAUAAUUGCUUAUGACUUCGUUUCUGUUUCCUCCCCGAGGGAGGAGGCCCCGGUGCCAUAUUUCCCUCCUUGCCUACUUUCUGCUUUCCUACUUUUCAGUGAGGACGCCCAGCCCCUCAAACCGAGCUGGUCUCAGGACCCGAGUACCUGCCCUGUCCCAGUUCUAAUUCUUGAGGUACCAAAUUUAUUUUCUAGCUGCUUUUGUGGUAUUUAGGACCUCAUGUAUUUAGCUUUUUAUAUUAAUGUAAUUUCAGGUUUAGAGAAAAGUUCCAAAAAUAGCAGAAAAAAUCACCAGGUAUCCCCCUCAGCCAGCUUCUCCCACUGUUAACAUUUGACCACAUUUGUGUUCUAUCUAUAACCUUGUCUGAGAGUAAGUUCCAGGUAUGAUGUCCCUUUACCCCUAAAUACUUCGGUGUAUAUUUUCUAAAAACAGAAACUUUCUCUUAUCUGGAAACUAACAUUAAUACAACACUAUUAAUUAACCUACAGAACAUAUUCAAAUGUUGGCAAUUGUCCCAAAUAUACACUUUAU